rnacentral:miRNA from 10 species
AAAAUUAUUUAUUAGGUUGGUGCAAAAGUAAUUUAAUUGUGGUUUUUGCUAUUAAAAGAAAUGGCAAAAAUCACAAUUACUUUUUCACCAAACUAAUAA